UGCUUUUGUUCUUGACACUCCUGGGCCUGCUGGCCCCAGCUUCUCCUGGACACUGAAACAGAAAGGAAAGGAAGUCAUUAUAGUUGAUGAACAAGAAGAUGCCAGUGGCCUGAGCAGUAAUGGGGAACCAGCCUCCAGGUAAAAGAACUGCCAUUUUUGUUGCCUGUUUUGAUCACAUAUAAAUACGAAGGAUCUGCUGUGUCUCUACAAAGCAAUGAGAGAACAAUCACCAGCCUGAGCCUUUGUGAUGUGUCCUGCCAGGCGCUCUGUUGUUCACAGCUACGGGAUAAAAACCGAGAACCCUGGACCAGGGCUAAGCGAAACUGAGAGAAAUCCAACACAGGAAUCUUCCCUGCAAAAAGUAAGAUUGUCCUUUAGCCUCCAUCCAAGUGACA